rnacentral:tRNA from 1 species
GUCCGAGUGGCGGAAUCUGGUAGACGCGCUAGCUUGAGGUGCUAGUGCCCGAAAGGGCUUGGGGGUUCAAGUCCCCCCUCGGACACCA